GAAUCGCAUGGCCUUGCGCCGGCGAUGGUUCAUUCAAAUUUCUGCCCUAUCAACUUUCGAUGGUAGGAUAGUGGCCUACCAUGGUGGCAACGGGUAACGGGGAAUUAGGGUUCGAUUCCGGAGAGGGAGCCUGAGAAACGGCUACCACAUCCAAGGAAGGCAGCAGGCGCGCAAAUUACCCAAUCCCGAUACGGGGAGGUAGUGACAAUAAAUACUGAUACAGGGCUCUUUUGGGUCUUGUAAUUGGAAUGAGAACAAUCUAAAUCCCUUAACGAGGAACAAUUGGAGGGCAAGUCUGGUGCCAGCAGCCGCGGUAAUUCCAGCUCCAAUAGCGUAUAUUAAAGUUGUUGCAGUUAAAAAGCUCGUAGUUGAACCUUGGGCCCGUCCUGCCGGUCCGCCUCACCGCGAGUACUGGUCCGGAUGGGCCUUUCUUUCUGGGGAAUCCCAUGGCCUUCACUGGCUGUGGCGGGGAACCAGGACUUUUACUGUGAAAAAAUUAGAGUGUUCAAAGCAGGCCUUUGCUCGGAUACAUUAGCAUGGAAUAAUAGAAUAGGACGUGAGGUUCUAUUUUGUUGGUUUCUAGGACCGCCGUAAUGAUUAAUAGGGAUAGUCGGGGGCGUCAGUAUUCAGCUGUCAGAGGUGAAAUUCUUGGAUUUGCUGAAGACUAACUACUGCGAAAGCAUUCGCCAAGGAUGUUUUCAUUAAUCAGGGAACGAAAGUUAGGGGAUCGAAGACGAUCAGAUACCGUCGUAGUCUUAACCAUAAACUAUGCCGACUAGGGAUCGGGCGGGGUUUCUAUGAUGACCCGCUCGGCACCUUACGAGAAAUCAAAGUUUUUGGGUUCUGGGGGGAGUAUGGUCGCAAGGCUGAAACUUAAAGAAAUUGACGGAAG
rnacentral:rRNA from 1 species